rnacentral:rRNA from 1 species
AGCGAACGCUGGCGGCAUGCCUAACACAUGCAAGUCGAACGAACCUUUCGGGGUUAGUGGCGGACGGGUGAGUAACACGUUGUAACGUGCCUUUAGGUUCGGAAUAACUCAGGUAAACUUGUGCUAAUACCGAAUGUGCCCUUCCGGGGGAAGAUUUAUAGCCUUUCGAGCGGCCCGCGUCUGAUUAGCUAGUUGGUUGAGGUAAUGGCUCACCAAGGCGACGAUCCGUAGCUGGUCUGAGAGGAUUAUCAGACACAUGGGGACUGAGACACGGCCCAGACUCCUACGGUAAGCAGCAGUGGGGAAUCUUGCGCAAUGGGCGAAAGCCUGACGCAGCCAUGCCGCGUGAAUGAUGAAGGUCUUAGGAUUGUAAAAUUCUUUCACCGGGGACGAUAAUGACGGUACCCGGAGAAGAAGCCCCGGCUAACUUCGUG